AAAAAUCAUAAAUAUAGUCUCGUGUGUAUGUGUAUUGUAUACGUGGAUGCAUGGAGAAUGAACGUGAUGCAUACCAUUAAUGGUGGCUGUGAAUAGGAAAAGAAGUGACUAAUCGUAGGCACUUUUCCUAGCAUGACGUUCAUCGUUUUCUGCGUAUAUGAAUGCGUUUCACAUAUACACGAUGACUGUUGGUCAAACGGUACUCGCACUAAUCAUCGAUAUGAGCGAUUCCCGUUUUAGUGAUGAUUUAAAGGAUAGCAACAUGUAAUAUGAUAUUAUUGAACUGAAUGUGAUACGUAUAAAUGUGUGAAUAUGUUAGUUAUGUCAUUACUUUCGUCGUCAUCUUUGACGUAGUGAUUUUCAAUGGGUAUCAUUGAAAGUCGUAAAAUGUAUUUUUCAUUGCCGUUGGUGAUGGUGAUGAAAUGCAUAAUUAUUGAGUAGUGACAAUAAAUACUAUACAUAUGGCGAUGGCACACAAGGAUAUUUUCUUCAAUACGUAUCUCAUUAGAAAUUCUAUAUA
rnacentral:misc_RNA from 1 species